UACGAAGGGGGCAAGCGUUGUUCGGAAUUACUGGGCGUAAAGGGCGCGUAGGCGGGAUGGCAAGUCGGUCGUGAAAUCCUUCGGCUCAACCGAAGAACGUCGGCCGAUACUGCCGUUCUUGAGGGAUGCAGAGGAGAUUGGAAUUCCCGGUGUAGCGGUGAAAUGUGUAGAGAUCGGGAGGAACACCGGUGGCGAAGGCGGGUCUCUGGGCAUCUCCUGACGCUGAGGCGCGAAAGCGUGGGGAGCAAACGGG
rnacentral:rRNA from 1 species